rnacentral:rRNA from 1 species
AGACCCGAAACCCGGUGAUCUAGCCAUGGGCAGGUUGAAGGUUGGGUAACACUAACUGGAGGACCGAACCGACUAAUGUUGAAAAAUUAGCGGAUGACCUGUGGCUGGGGGUGAAAGGCCAAUCAAACCGGGAGAUAGCUGGUUCUCCCCGAAAGCUAUUUAGGUAGCGCCUCGUGAAUUCAUCUCCGGGGGUAGAGCACUGUUUCGGCUAGGGGGCCAUCCCGGCUUACCAACCCGAUGCAAACUGCGAAUACCGGAGAAUGUUAUCACGGGAGACACACGGCGGGUGCUAACGUCCGUCGUGAAGAGGGAAACAACCCAGACCGCCAGCUAAGGUCCCAAAGUCAUGGUUAAGUGGGAAACGAUGUGGGAAGGCCCAGACAGCCAGGAUGUUGGCUUAGAAGCAGCCAUCAUUUAAAGAAAGCGUAAUAGCUCACUGGUCGAGUCGGCCUGCGCGGAAGAUGUAACGGGGCUAAACCAUGCACCGAAGCUGCGGCAGCGACGCUGAUGCGUUGUUGGGUAGGGGAGCGUUCUGUAAGCCUGCGAAGGUGGCCUGUGAGGGUUGCUGGAGGUAUCAGAAGUGCGAAUGCUGACAUAAGUAACGAUAAAGCGGGUGAAAAGCCCGCUCGCCGGAAGACCAAGGGUUCCUGUCCAACGUUAAUCGGGGCAGGGUGAGUCGACCCCUAAGGCGAGGCCGAAAGGCGUAGUCGAUGGGAAACGGGUUAAUAUUCCCGUACUUGGUGUUACUGCGAAGGGGGGACGGAGAAGGCUAUGUUGGCCGGG